AGCGGAGGAAAAGAAACUAACAAGGAUUCCCCUAGUAACUGCGAGUGAACCGGGAAAAGCUCAAAUUUUGAAUCUGGCGGUCUUUAUGGCCGUCCGAGUUGUAAUCUAGAGAAGCGUCUUCCGCGCUGGACCGUGUAUAAGUUUCCUGGAAUGGAACGUCGUAGAGGGUGAGAAUCCCGUCUUUGACACGGACUACCAGGGCUAUGUGAUGCGCUCUCGACGAGUCGAGUUGUUUGGGAAUGCAGCUCAAAUAGGGUGGUAAAUUCCAUCUAAAGCUAAAUAUAGGCGAGAGACCGAUAGCGAACAAGUACCGUGAGGGAAAGAUGAAAAGAACUUUGGAAAGAGAGUUAAACAGUACGUGAAAUUGCUGAAAGGGAAACGCUUGAUGUCAGUCGCGUUCGUCGGGGAUCAGCCUUGCUCUUUUGCUCGGCGUACUUCCUGGCGAACGGGUCAGCAUCAGUUUUGUUCGUCGGAAAAUGGCUCGAGAAAUGUGGCACUCUUCGGGGUGUGUUAUAGACUCGGGUCGAAUACGACGUUCGGGACUGAGGAACUCAGCACGACCUUCGGGUUCGGGGCUUAGGCCCACGUUAACGUGCUUAGGAUGCUGGCAUAAUGGCCUUAAGCGACCCG
rnacentral:rRNA from 1 species